UGGCAGACGGGUGAAUAACACGUGGGAACCUUCCUCGUAGUACGGAACAACUCAGGGAAACUUGAGCUAAUACCGUAUACGUCCGAGAGGAGAAAGAUUUAUCGCUAUGAGACGGGCCCGCGUCCGAUUAGCUAGUUGGUGGGGUAACGGCCUACCAAGGCAACGAUCGGUAGCUGAUCUGAGAGGAUGAUCAGCCACACUGGGACUGAGACACGGCCCAG
rnacentral:rRNA from 1 species